rnacentral:rRNA from 1 species
UACGUAGGGUGCGAGCGUUAAUCGGAAUUACUGGGCGUAAAGCGUGCGCAGGCGGUUCGUUAAGUCAGAUGUGAAAGCCCCGGGCUCAACCUGGGAACUGCAUUUGAAACUGGGAGACUAGAGUGUGGCAGAGGGGGGUGGAAUUCCACGUGUAGCAGUGAAAUGCGUAGAUAUGUGGAGGAACACCGGUGGCGAAGGCGGCCAUCUGGACGGAUACUGACGCUGAGACGCGAAAGCGUGAGUAGCAAACAGG